AACUAUAUAAAAUUCAAAUUCUAGUAUCCAUUUAUAAAGUUUUAUUGGAACACAGCUGUGCUCAUCUGUUUCUAUAUUAACUAUGUCUACUUUUGCACUAAAAUGUUUAGUGGCAAAAGAGACCAUAUGGCCCAUAAAGACUCCUUUAUAGAAGUCUGUUGACCACUGGACUAUGCCCAAGUGAGUCCUUGGAGGGGACCCACUGGAGCUCCCCACUAUAGAUUUUUUGUUUCCGGAUAUUAAUACUGGGAAAGGGGUGAUUCAACUAGGACAGUAUUUGCAAGGAUCUGAUAAGGGAGACACUGUAGAACAUAAAUACAUGAUGGUUACCUCAGAAAAGAUAUAAACGCCUGGUAAAAUCUGGGUGGGCUGACUGAAGAAGAAGUAAUUGGAGAAUGCACAGUAACAUACACAAUUUAGCAGCAAAGGUGGGCUCUUAUUGAGUCACAUGGGACCUUGCUGAGACCCAAUCCCAACGAGCCUAGUGAAACUCUCUGGUGAUGAUGUCUGCAAAUAGCAGGGAGACUGAGCAGCAUUUGUAAUGCAAUGACAGACAAUUCCCCAAUAGUACCCCAUUCCUUUAUUAGGUGUCCUCAAGUCAUUUAGCAUCCAGAUUUAUCCAGGCAUUUCCAAAGGCAAGUCUUAGUCUUUGACUAGAAAUUCAUCUGAAAAAAAGUUUCUGGGAAGGAGGCCCCAGGUAAACAUUCUUCCCCAAAUAACAUUUCAAUGAGGACUCAGUGAGGAUCAGAAUUCAGAAGAUGGCAGAACCCUCCACAUGUUUUUCUAAGUCACAGAUUUGGUGAACAUUUUAUUCUUUCUCUUUUUGAUCAUUACUAGUGGGGCAAAUGAAGCAAGGUAGGGUGGGGUGAUGGAAGGGGAGAAUUGCAUAAAAUCAGUGUUAGGAUGAUCUGCCCCAGAAGGCAUGUAUUCCUCUUAGACGCUCAGCUGUGGCAUAAAACAUUCCAUGUGGACUUUGAAUUAGAAUGAGCGUGGGGGCGGGGACAAAGAUCAACCUGAAAGCCAAACGGAGUCAUUGACCGAUGGUGUUAAGCUUGAGAAAGUUUGCAGAUGGCCAGCUCUCCUACUGACAUCCCACAGAAAGCCAGGCUUGAUCUAUUGUGGUUAGGUGGAGUUUCUCCUGCCAGGGAAAAUACAGUUGCUAGGAGAAUGGGCUUUGGAUGUUAUAACUCUGAAGAAGUUUCAUGACUCUUGCUACUAGAGGUAACCAUAUUGCCUCCUUGAGAAACUGGUGACACUGGGUGCCUCUGGGGAGUGCAACUGAGGGUGGCUAAGGUGCCCAUGUCCCUUAGAAAAAACAAAAUCAACACAUAAUUCCCCCAUGUCACCCCACCCUGCUUCUUUAAGAUAGGAAGGCAACCUGGGGCCAGGGCUGGAGCAGACAAUUUCCUUACUCAGCAGCUGAAGCGGGGAGCUGAAAGAAGGAUCCAAAAAAUCAGAGAAGAGUUGUAAGUUAAGUGGAAAACCAUGACCCAAAGGUCAAUACAAGGAUCAGCACACCAAAGUGACCAAAAGCAGCUACUGAAGAUGUGACCCAGGACCAGAAAACAAAGCAACAAGGAAAGAGAGGAGUAAGAGCAAACUGUGAAGAAUAAACUGAGAGGUGUCUGAAGAUAGUCAAGGACAAGAGCCUGGGGUGUGACGGACACAUAGCUGGAUGUGUGAGACUACGGGACCAGGAGCUCAAGAGGCCUAGGCAGCAAGGUGCAGGCCAGGGCAAAACGUGCAUCAGCAAUAAAAUAGAUUUGGUGGGUGGACACAUUAGGAGUACUCAUAUAAGAACUUUCCUAUUUGGAGAUGCCCAGAUCAUGCUCUACCCUUGGGUUUAGAAAUUCUGAGCAGCCAAAUGUGAAUGGUUUGCUCUGGAUAAGUCCUUUUCAUUAUAGCCAAUUGGAACCAUUUGAAUUCACACUCCUAAUUACCUGCUUCUGGUUGCUGUGUCUAAACCAUGUCUGGACCAACAUAGCUUCUGGUACUCUACACUCCACCAUGGGUCUUGGUCCAGCAUCACUGGCAGGGACAUACCAGCCCUGUUCAUAGGACUGGAAUAAAAUCCAGAAGUAAGUUGUCUCAGGACCUCUGUUUAAUAACAGGUUAGAAACAACUCCUGUAGGUAUGGUUGUGGGAUCCUGGCCUGGGACCAGGAGCAUAUAAAUCUGCAACAAUUACCACUGGGUAGGCCUUAGCAAGGAUUACUAUGAGGUUCAGCAACAAAGCUGCAAGAACUAGUGGUGGGGACUUUGUUCCUAAAGUGCAGUGUCCCUGGUGCCAAGUGCUUGUGGGCAACCUAGAGCCGCAUCUGAUGUAGGAAGACUUCAUUGUCCUGAAAUGGAAUGUCUAGAAACUGUUAAGGAGCUGGAGGUCUAUAAGCUGUUGUUUGGUUUAAGAGUUUUCUUACACAGUAUCUUCUCUUUGUGGGACAACGUCUAGCUUUCAAGGUGUCUCAAAACUAACAGGUGUUGACCCGGAACUUGUAAUUUUUGGAGGUGAGUAGAGAAAGUGAAAGAACAGCACUAAAAGUAACUGUGAUGAAUGAGUGUUGUGCCUCUACUAUCAAGCAAUAUUGUUUAAGAGGAGCUGUUAUAUCUAAAAAUCCUUGAGUAAAACAAAGACUGGCCAAUUCUGUGAAAUGCUAUUACCAAACCCCUGCCCCCUGAAUGUUUCCAGUCUAUGUGGUAUUACUUGGAACCCACUUGGGAAAAGUUCCAUUCCAUAAAUCCUGGCAGAGGCAGGAAGAGAAGAGACAGAGUUUGAACUUGCAGAAACUGCUUGUCGGGGUCCAAAUGGAAAAUCAGAUAUCAAAUUGGUUGUUACAAACCUAUUCACAGACUCAGGGGAAGCAAUUUAACAACAAGUGGCAUAGAGUUGGAGGCUUAGGAGAGAAAGCAAAUUAUCCCAAAUUGUUCAUCUGCUGCAACACCAUUAUCUUCCUCUUUAAACUUUGUUAUUUUAGCCAAUAGUGUCAUCAUUUUCUAAUUCCUUUUUUUUUUUUUUGGGACAGAGUCUAGCUCUGUCGCCAGGUUGGAGUACAGUGGCGCAAUCUCCACUCACUGCAACCUCUGCCUUCCGGG
rnacentral:lncRNA from 1 species